rnacentral:lncRNA from 1 species
AUGUGGCCCCAACCCCGCCUCCCUCCCCACCCCGCGAUGUCAGAAAAAACACAACAGGGGAAAUUGGCCGCAGCCAAGAAAAAGUUAAAAGCAUAUUGGCAGAGGAAGAGCCCUGGCAUUCCAGCAGGAGCUAACAGGAAAAAGAAAAUCAAUGGCAGUAGCCCUGACACAGCCACUUCUGGUGGUUACCACUCACCUGGGGAUUCAGCAACAGGUAUCUACGGGGAGGGCCGUGCAUCCUCUACUACCCUGGAGGAUCUGGAGAGCCAGUACCAAGAACUAGCAGUGGCCCUGGAUUCAAGCUCCGCAAUAAUCAGUCAACUCACUGAAAACAUCAAUUCACUGGUUCGCACAUCUAAGGAGGAGAAGAAGCAUGAGAUACAUCUGGUACAGAAGCUUGGGAGGAGCUUGUUCAAACUCAAAAACCAGACGGCUGAACCCCUGGCCCCAGAGCCCCCAGCAGGGCCAUCUAAGGUAGAGCAGCUACAAGAUGAGACCAACCACCUAAGGAAGGAGCUAGAGAGUGUGGGAAGACAGCUCCAGGCUGAGGUGGAAAACAAUCAGAUGUUGAGUCUCCUGAACAGGAGACAGGAGGAGAGGCUACGUGAACAGGAGGAGAGGCUACGUGAACAGGAGGAGAGGCUACGUGAACAGGAGGAGAGGCUGUGUGAACAGGAGGAGAGGCUACGUGAACAGGAGGAGAGGCUACGUGAACAGGAGGAGAGGCUGUGUGAACAGGAGGAGAGGCUACGUGAACAUGAGGAGAGGCUGUGUGAACAGGAGGAGAGGCUGUGUGAACAGGAGGAGAGGCUACGUGAACAGGAGGAGAGGCUACAUGAACAGGAGGAGAGGCUGUGUGAACAGGAGGAGAGGCUACGUGAACAGGAGGAGAGGCUGUGUGAACAGGAGGAGAGGCUACGUGAACAGGAGGAGAGGCUGUGUGAACAGGAGGAGAGGCUACGUGAACAGGAGGAGAGGCUGUGUGAACAGGAGAAGCUGCCAGGGCAGGAGAGGCUGCUGGAAGAGGUGGAGAAGCUGUUAGAACAGGAGAGGCGGCAGGAGGAGCAGGAGAGGCUGCUGGAGAGGGAGAGGCUGCUGGAAGAGGUGGAGAAGCUGUUAGAACAGGAGAGGCGGCAGGAGGAGCAGGAGAGGCUGCUGGAGAGGGGGAGAGGGAGAGGCUGCUGGACGAGGUGGAGGAGCUCCUGGACGAGGUGGAGGAGCUCCUGGAGCAGGAGAGGCUUCGGCAACAGGAUGAGAGGCUGUGGCAGCAGGAGACUCUGCAGGAGCUGGAGAGGCUGCGGGAGCUGGAGAGGAUGCUGGAGCUGGGGUGGGAAGCCCUGUACGAGCAGCGGGCCGAGCCACGCAGCGGCUUCGAGGAGCUGAACAACGAGAACAAGAGCACACUGCAGUUGGAGCAGCAAGUAAAGGAGCUGAAGAAGUCGGGUGGAGCUGAAGAGCCAAGAGGCUCCGAGUCUGCAGCAGCAGCCAGACCAGUAGCUGGAGCCCCAGUCCCACAAGGAGCUUGGAUGUGCGGACAAGCAGGGUGGACUCCCCAGGAGCACCCAGGCUUGGGUGGAGAAGCUGUUGGUACAGGAGAGGCGGCAGGAGGAGCAGGAGAGGCUGCAUGCCAUUCUUUUCGGGCUGCCGAGAACAGGGAGCUAAACAUCACCAUCAUCUAA